UACGAAGGUGGCAAGCGUUGUUCGGAUUUACUGGGCGUACAGGGAGCGUAGGCGGUUGGAUAAGCCCUCCGUGAAAUCUCCAGGCUUAACCUGGAAAGUGCAGAGGGGACUGUUCAGCUAGAGGAUGGGAGAGGAGCGCGGAAUUCCCGGUGUAGCGGUGAAAUGCGUAGAGAUCGGAAAGAACACCAACGGCGAAAGCACUCUGCUGGGCCGACACUGACACUGAGAGACGAAAGCUAGGGGAGCGAAUGGG
rnacentral:rRNA from 1 species